GAAAAAUGGCAUUCCCCCGGGGCAGGAUGGAGGCAGCAGAGUGGCGGCGCCUGCUUCACCUCCUCAAGGACGCGCGGGUCAGGGUGACGAGGGAGUAUGGAAGUUUUUUGAUACCAGAGGAAACCAUCACUGAGGAGGAGGAGUGGAGAGAGCUGGAGGACGUCACUAUCAAUUUGUGGGGGUGUAAGGUGUUCAGGGAAUCUGACGAGAUAUGUUUCUUGUCAGCCUCAAUUUGUGACUUUUGAGUCUGAUGAAGAAGAUGAAGAUGAGGAGGAGGAGGACUUAAAAAAUUUAACCUGCUCCACAGCCUGCUGCAUCACCACCACAGCCACCUCCACCACAGCCUGCUACACCACCAUCACAGCCACCACAACACAGUCACUCCACCACAGCCAAAAGUAGUGGAGACAAAGCGGCGCCCUUUGAAACACUUGAAACACUUGAAACACUUUAUUAUACUUUGCAUGAGUUAAAACAUAGAUUAAAUAUAUUUUUGAAUAGCAAAGCAGCCCAUAUAAAGCCGAGGCUUUUUGGGCAGUAUUACUUAUAAGAUAAUUAAAUUAUCUUCUCAACCCCAUUCCAUAUGUUGCCAGUAGCAUAGGCAAUAUCUUUACAUACACAAAUAUACAUAUUAACUUUGUCCAUACAUACAUGUAUACUAGCAUGCAUCCGCCCAUACAUACACACAUUCACACAAAAUCAUAACACACAUAGGCAUAUAAAUGAUAUACGAGUAUGUAAUAUACAUACACAAAUGCAAACACGCAUAUAUACACAAUAUUUUAUUACAAUGUACGUGACACCAGUGACAUAACUAUUUAUUUUAUUUUAUUUUGUUUUAUGUUGCCUGAUUGAUUGAAUGUUUGAUUGUCAAUUUAAUAAGUGGAAAUUAUAUGUUUCUUAAUUUUUUUUUUAAAUGAAAGUAUUGUGGGUAAUAAUCUAAUGUGUUCUGGAAUCGAAUUCCAUGUUUUUGGGCCAGUAUAAGAUAAUGAAUGUUGAAAUAUCGUUAGGUGGUGAAGUGGUAUGGAGAGGUUGUCUCGAGCACGUGUAGGAUAGUUAUGUUGAUGUCUUAUAGCUGUAUUGUUUGUGUCUUUAAUUUGUUUGUACAUCUGAAUUCCAAUUUGCACUUUAUUAAUAUCAAAUAACUUCAAUAUAUUUGUCUCUUUGAAAAGAAGUUGUGUAUGAGCAAAAUAGUCACUGAAUGUUAUGAUUCUAAUUAUUUUUUUUGCAAUCUGAAGAGUGGUAUCAGGUGUGUUAGAUAGGUGUUGCACCAGAUAGGUAUGCAGUACUGUAAGUGUGGUAAAACAUGUGCAUUGUAUAAAAUUAUAAGUACAUAUUGUGGAACUAAAUCUUUAAUCUGGUACAGGAGGGAAACAAUCCUGGAUAAUUUCAGCAUGAGAUUUGAUAUGUGUGGUUUGAAAGUCAUAUUUUCAUCAUAGGUUAUUCCUAGUAAGUUAUGGUGAUUAGUUCUAUUAAUAAUCUUAUCAUGAUAAAACAGAGGUGGCAGUAUAUUUAUGGGCUUAUUGGUAAAUAGCAUGUAAUAUGUUUUGCUGGGAUUUACAGUUAGUCUAUUACUUGUACACCAUUUGUGGAAGGUUUUUGCACAACAAAGAGAAUGGCUGGGUGCAGACUCUGCCGGCAAGGAAGCAACAUGGGAAACACUUCAGGGAGAAAGACCAGCGGGACCGACAGUGGACAGCUGGAUGACUCGGCGGGCAGCCGGGAGAGGAUGGCCAAGCAAGGCCAGACCCAUUGCUGGCCAGGAGAAUGGACUCAGCCGAGGAGAUGCACAUGUGUGUCCCAUGGGAAAGAGCUGCCGUGUCACUGCAGUAGUGACGCUGAAGAGGACAUCAAGGAGAACGAGUCAUGCGAGGCGAGCCACACAACCUUCAGAAACGUGUCAUUCUGUCUGCAGAUGAUGCCUCAAUAUUAAGAGAAUGACAAGCCACACUGACUGUGGAAUUCCUCACACUGACUUGAACAAGACCUCACAGUGGAGCAAGGCACAGGAAAGGAAGAUCAUUGCAUUACCUACUGCAGAGAGAGAGAGAGAGAGAGAGAGAGCAGCUGGUACUAUACAAAUGUUAUUGGUGUCAGUAUCGACUCUUGUUUAUGCCCAAGAUAGUAUGAGUCUCUUCAGACAAACAUACAACAAGUUUCUUCAGUAACAAUUUCCUGGAAUCCACUCCCGGCAGUCUGCGCCACCAGCACACCCCGUGUCUCUCAGCCAAGUCUCCACCCAGCACCCUAAACCAUCUGCCCAAACAGGUGAGAUGUCGGGGAGGCAGAGAGAGGCGGUGCACAUUACACAUUACAUCUUAAGUAAGUAUUAACCCUAAGGAAGUAUCCUGUUGAUGAUACAGAAAUGUUGUUAAUGUGCCACUAGUACUGCAGUGAACGUGCUGCCUGUCCUGCACACCACCACACCAGCACAUGCCACACCUUCUCCGAGUGCCACCAUCCGGUGCUGCGCAGCAGAACAGGUGUGGAGGCGUCAGCCGAGUGUAUGACUGACGCGUCGUGCCAGAGGAAAUGCAAGCUGACCAUCAUGGUUGGCUUCAACUGUAGAGAACUAAAUUGAGAUGAAUGGACAAGUGAAGGAAGUGACGAAUCAUGGGGGAGUGAAAUGCUGAAGUUAGCCAUGGAAAACACUUUAACACAAUGGAUUGCAAUUGACACGAGAUUUAGAAGUGAUGGUGUACCACUGAGACUGGACUCGGUUUUCAUGAAAGACCCAGAAAUUAUAGAAAGUGUCACCUGAGACUCCCCUUUAAGCAAGAGUGAUCACGUGUUAAUUGAACUCCAAAUAACAGAGACUUUAAAGUGUCUGAGAGAAGAGUGUCACAAGAUUGAAAGGUUGAACUAUAGGAGGGCAGACCAUAAAGCCAUGAAAUGAUUUUUACACAGGCAGAUUGGAGCGCCUUUAACAUGACCAAUACCAUCGUUCCAAAAGUGAACAAGAGAGAGAUUAGGAAAAGUGACUGGUUUGACAAGAGUUGUACGGAGGCAAAAAGUAAGAGUGACCAGGUGUUGAAUAAAUGGAGAAGGAAAAAGAAGGCCAGAACUGUAGAAAAACUAUGCGGAGGCCAGAAAUGACAUUGGUCUAUGCAGAGAGAUAAAAAGAAACUAUGAGAAGGAUACAGUGGAGAGGUGUAAGGACUAGCCAAAUUCAUAUACAGUAAAUUAAAAAAACAAAGAAGGGAUAAGCAAGCUGGAAGUGAAUGAACUACAAUACACAAAGGCAGCAGAAAUGGCAGAAGUUAUGAAAUGAAUGACUGUUUUCAGAAAGCUUUCACCAGGGAAGAUGACUUCAACAAUCAGGAGGAAAUAACCAUGAAGGGUAACACCUUGCAUGAGAUCCAGAUAUCUAUUGAAGAAGUGUAGAAAUUACUGAGUGGGUUAGAUGCAAGAAAGGCACAUGGACCGGAUGGAGUGUCAAACUGGGUGUUGAAAGAGUGCAGCAGUGAGCCAAGUGCUAAAAUGCUAAAAUACACAGUAUCACCAAUUGUUUGCUGAGAGUAGGUAGAGUCUCUGAAGACUGGAAGAGCCCAAAUAUUAUUGCAAUAUACAAAGAAGGCAAGGGAGAGGAUCUGAUGAAUUACAGACCUGUAUCAUUGACAAGUGUGGUGGCCAAGAUCUGUGAAAGGGCAGUUAGAGACAAAUGGAUGGAAUACCUGGAGACCAAAGACAUAAUAAGUGACAGUUUGGCUUUCAAAAAGGACACUCCUGUACUGCUAACUUGGUGUGCUUCUAUUCAAGAGUUACCGAUAUAAUACAAGAAAGAGACAGAUGGGCGGACUGCAUUUAUUUAGACCCGGAGAAGGCCUUCGACAAAGUUCCACGCAAGAGACUAGUGUGGAAACUUAGAGAAGAAGGUGGUGUGGGAAGAAAAUUACUGGCAUGGAUGGAAGACUUCCUAAAGGACAAAGAUGAGGACAGUUAUAAGAGACAAAACAUCUACAUUCAAAAGUGUUUACAGUGGAGUUCCUCAGGGAUCAGUUCUACCUCCUAUUAUGUUUGCUAUAUACAUAAAUGAUAUGGUUAAGGAGACAGGAAGUGAUGCAAGUCUGUUUGUUGAUGAUGCAAGAUCAUGAAGGAAGUAAAGAAUAAAGAGGACUGUGACCUGCUCCAAAAGGACUUCAAUAGGAUAUAUGAAUGGAGUAAAAAAUGGAACAUUGCAUUUGAUGCAAGAAAAUGUAGUGUAUUGGAGUUAGGGGAAAGCAAAAACAGACCUGUUGGAACCUAUAAGCUGAAAGAAGCAAAAAUCCAGAAAAGGGACACUGAGAAAGAUC